UGAGUAACGCGUGGGUAACCUGCCCUUAAGUCUGGGAUACCAUUUGGAAACAGAUGCUAAUACCGGAUAAAAGCUACUUUCGCAUGAAAGAAGUUUAAAAGGCGGCGUAAGCUGUCGCUAAAGGAUGGACCUGCGAUGCAUUAGCUAGUUGGUAAGGUAACGGCUUACCAAGGCGAUGAUGCAUAGCCGAGUUGAGAGACUGAUCGGCCACAUUGGGACUGAGACACGGCCCAAACUCCUACGGGAGGCAGCAGGA
rnacentral:rRNA from 1 species